rnacentral:rRNA from 1 species
UACAGAGGUCCCAAGCGUUGUUCGGAUUCAUUGGGCGUAAAGGGUGCGUAGGCGGAUCGUUAAGUCGGGGGUGAAAUCCUGGAGCUCAACUCCAGAACUGCCUUCGAUACUGGCGAUCUUGAGUCCGGAAGAGGUGAGUGGAACUCCUAGUGUAGAGGUGGAAUUCGUAGAUAUUAGGAAGAACACCAGUGGCGAAGGCGGCUCACUGGUCCGGUACUGACGCUGAGGUGCGAAAGCGUGGGGAGCAAACAGG